rnacentral:rRNA from 1 species
GAUGAACGCUGGCGGCGUGCCUAAUACAUGCAAGUAGAACGCUGAAGGAAGGAGCUUGCUCUUUCCGGAUGAGUUGCGAACGGGUGAGUAACGCGUGGGUAACCUGCCUGGUAGCGGGGGAAAACUAGUGGAAACGAUAGCUAAUACCGCAUAACAGUAGAUGUUGCAUGAUGGCUACUUAAAAGGUGCAAUUGCACCACUACCAGGUGGACCUGCGGUGUAUUAGCGAGUUGGUGAGGUACCGGCUCACCAAGGCGACGAAACGUAGCCGCACUGAGAGGAUGAGCGGCCACACUGGGACUGAGACACGCCCCAGACGCCCACGGGAGGCAGCAGGAGGGCAUCUUCGGCAAGGGACGGAAGUCUGACCGAGCAACGCCGCGGGAGGGAAGAAGGGUGUCGGAUCGUAAAGCUCGGUUGUAAGAGUAGAACGAGUGUGAGAGUGGAACGUUCACACUGUGACGGUAUCUUACCAGAAAGGGACGGCUAACUACGUG